GUGCCAGCCGCCGCGGUAAUACGUAGGGAGCAAGCGUUGUCCGGAAUCAUUGGGCGUAAAGCGCGCGUAGGCGGCCUCAUAAGUCCGUUGUGAAAGUCAAAGGCUCAACCUUUGAAAGCCGAUGGAUACUGUGAGGCUAGAGUCCGGAAGAGGCGAGUGGAAUUCCUGGUGUAGCGGUGGAAUGCGCAGAUAUCAGGAGGAACACCAAUAGCGAAGGCAGCUCGCUGGGACGGUACUGACGCUAAGGCGCGAAAGCGUGGGGAGCGAACAGGAUUAGAAACCCCCGUAGUCC
rnacentral:rRNA from 1 species